rnacentral:rRNA from 1 species
UACGGAGGGUGCAAGCGUUAUCCGGAUUCACUGGGUUUAAAGGGUGCGUAGGUGGGCAGGUAAGUCCGUGGUGAAAUCUCUGAGCUUAACUCAGAAACUGCCGUGGAUACUAUUUGUCUUGAAUAUUGUGGAGGUGAGCGGAAUAUGUCAUGUAGCGGUGAAAUGCUUAGAUAUGACAUAGAACACCAAUUGCGAAGGCAGCUCACUACACAAUUUAUUGACGCUGAGGCACGAAAAGCGUGGGGAUCAAACAGG